UUCCCACAUUUUCCCGUCGCACUUCUUUCCUUUCCUCCCUACAGCAUCGCUGCUGGGCUUGUUCCCUCUCCCACCCCCUCCUUUACCAUCACGAUUUUUGUCUCCGACGUUCCGCCGAGGUUCCUUGCCGGACUUGCCCCUCUGACUCCGCAAUAGCUUCCCCCGACCGCUUGUGAGCUCUGAUGGCCAAGACUUCCAAGAAGAUGUUGAAGCGAAGCAGGCCGAUGCCCUAAAGGAGUCUGGUCGACUUUGCAUGCCUCGCUUGGGAGCUCCUUGUUUUCGGAUCCUUCGCAUUGAAUCUUAUAGCCAUCUCUUUGUUCGCCUCACCUUCGCUAUACCAGGGUGGCACGCCACUAGGUUUUGACUUUGAAGGUUCGCGAAGGUUGCGCUCGUCGCGUUGCAGCAUUCUGACAGACAGAAGGAGGAGAUGGUUUCGGAGGAAGAGGAGAUCAGCGUGUCUUCCUCUUCCGGCCCCCUCCCCGCAUCCAAGGAUGUCGUUUUUAAACCUUGCCGUCUCAUUCCCUUCGUCUACUUCGACAAUGGCGGAAGAAGGAAAGAUCGCUCCCUCCGAUCCCCAGCUGGAAAUGCCAAACGCAGAUGAUUUUGAUUCGCAGAAGCCACAGGAAAUGCUAUUGCUGAUAACAACUUCGUGAUCGUGGGCGCAUGCUCAACGCAGCUAUUGCAAGCUGCCCUUUAUGCUUUAUUUCCUCCCAACACUCCUGGGCCACUUAGCUCUGUUUCUGCAGUUCCAUACUUCUCGGUGAGUUCCAUUACAUGCAAUGCAUAGAGCCAAUUCCCAAGGUUUCUGGA